rnacentral:lncRNA from 1 species
GGAAUCCAGAUUCUUUGUGUUGCAAUAACAGGUACUAAAUUCUAUACUUAUUUAUUUACUCUUAAAUUCUACAAUUAUUAUAAUGUAUGACAUCAAUAAAUAUAUUAUUAUAUAAAUGAAUCAAAAAAUUAUUAAAUUAUUUAAAAAAUUCCUAAACUAUUUUAAAGAAAUUCAAAUAAGCUUUUCUUAAUUUUUAUUACAUUCAAUCAAGCUAUUAUAUUUUUAUUUUGAACCAAAUAAACCCUUCUAAAUAAUAGUUAACUAAUGUUAUUAGUUCAAAUGUCACUUAUUAUUUUAUACUUAUGUGACAUUGAUAUGAUGCUGACAAGGAGGAUGAAAAUACCACGUAACCAUGUCAUAAUGCCAUAUACUAUGACAUGUCAACAUAAUAUAUCAAUGUCUUGUGACUUAAAAUAACAAAUGGUAUUUUAAUUAAUAACAGUUAGUUAUCCAUUAGUUAUAAUAGCUUAUUUGAUUCAAAAUAAAUGUUUAAGAGCUUGAUCAUACACAAUAAAAGAAUAAGAGUUUAUUUAAAAUUUUCUAAAUAGCUCAGGAAAUUUUUUUAAGUAUUAUGCAUGUAUGUGUGUGUGUGUGUAUGUGUAUAUACCAGUGUGAAAUUAAUUAAAUUUACACCUUUUCAUAUUUUUUAUAAGAUUUCUAUUUUGUUAAUUUAACCGUUGUAUUCCAUAUGUACUCAAUUUACAUAGAUCAUGCAUAAAAAAUUUUAAAUCAAUUGAAAAUAUCUAAUUAUUUGUAUAAUAAUAAUAAAAUUUUAACCGUUAAAUAUAUAUUUAAAAAACAAUAUUCUCUACCAAUGUGAUAUGGAUAUGGCACUGACUUGAAACUUU